rnacentral:rRNA from 1 species
UUUCGCAAUGCCCGAAAGGGUGACGAAGCGACGCCGCGUGUGGGAAGAAGGCCUUCGGGUUGUAAACCACUGUCGGGAGUUAAGAAAUACAAGGAUAUUAAUAGUGUCUUUGUUUGACUAAGGCUCCGGAGGAAGCCACGGCUAACUCUGUGCCAGCAGCCGCGGUAAUACAGAGGCGGCAAGCGUUGUUCGGAAUUAUUGGGCGUAAAGAGCACGUAGGCGGCUAUGUAAGUCGGUUGUGAAAGCCUUCCGCUCAACGGAAGAACAGCAUCCGAUACUACAUGGCUUGAGUGCGGGAGGGGAGAGUGGAACUUCUGGUGGAGCGGUGAAAUGCGUAGAUAUCAGAAGGAACGCCGGCGGCGAAAGCGGCUCUCUGGCCCAUAACUGACGCUAGAGUGUGCGAAAGCUAGGGGAGCAAACGGGAUUAGAUACCCCGGUAGUCCUAGCCGUAAACGAUGGGCACUAAGUAGAGGGGUUU